rnacentral:rRNA from 1 species
AGAGUUUGAUCAUGGCUCAGGAUGAACGCUGGCGGCGUGCCUAAUACAUGCAAGUCGAACGAGGUCUUCGGACCUAGUGGCGAACGGGUGAGUAACACGUUGGUACCUACCUCGAAGUGGGGAAUAACUGGCCGAAAGGUCGGCUAAUACCGCAUAAUACCGCAAGGUUAAAGUCGCAAGACGCUACGAGAGGGGCCUGCGUCCCAUUAGCUUGUUGGUGGUGUAAUGGACCACCAAGGCGACGAUGGGUAGCUGGAUCGAGAGGUUGACCAGCCACACUGGGACUGAGAUACGGCCCAGACUCCUACGGGAGGCAGCAGUAAGGAAUCUUCCACAAUGGACGAAAGUCUGAUGGAGCAACGCCGCGUGCAGGAUGACGGCCUUCGGGUUGUAAACUGCUUUUAUAUGGGAAGAUUAUGACGGUACCAUAUGAAUAAGGACCGGCUAACUACGUGCCAGCAGCCGCGGUAAUACGUAGGGUCCAAGCGUUAUCCGGAAUCACUGGGCGUAAAGCGUGCGUAGGUGGGAAUUUAAGUGUGAUGUUAAAUCGUGUGGCUCAACCAUAUCGAUGCAUCGCAUACUGGGUUCCUAGAGGACAGCAGAGGCAAGUGGAAUUGGUAGUGUAGCAGUGAAAUGCGUAGAUAUUACCAGGAACACCAAUGGCGAAGGCGCUUGCUGGGCUACUCCUGACACUGAGGUACGAAAGCGUGGGGAGCGAACAGGAUUAGAUACCCUAGUAGUCC